CACUUGCGCAUCAGCGCCGAGGUGGAGGUGGUGGAGAUGGUUGAAAACGACAUAUCUGCUUUCACCUACGAGAGGACACUAAUGAUGGAGCAGAGGUCGCAGAUGCUGAAGCAGAUGCAGCUGUCCAAGAACGAGCAGGAGCGAGAGGCCCAGCUGAUCCACGACAGGAACACCGCGUCCCACACCGCAGCGGCAGCCAGGACCCAAGCGCCGCCUACGCCAGACAAGGUGCAGAUGACCUGGACCAGGGAGAAGCUGAUUGCUGAGAAGUACAGGAACAGAGACACCAGCCUAUCCGGUUUCAAAGACCUCUUCAGCAUGAAGCCGUGAGUGUCUGUGCGUGUGGCCUGGGGGGAACAGAUCCUGGCAGUGCUGGCCCGGCAGUGAGGACAGAGUCCCUUCCCUGACCACUGAAGAGCUUCGGGGCAACCCUGCAGGCCAGUGGGCCCGUUAGAGAACAGGGAGCUGCCUGAGUGGGCACUGAGGGGUCCUUUUGGUGCCAAGGCCGGGAGUCCUUGUAAGACCUGGG
rnacentral:sRNA from 1 species